rnacentral:rRNA from 1 species
UCAGACGAUGCGUCAUGCAUAUCAAUAAGCGGAGGAAAAGAAACUAACAAGGAUUCCCUUAGUAACGGCGAGUGAAGCGGGAAGAGCUCAAAUUUGAAAUCUUCAAGGUUUUACCUUGACGAAUUGUAGUUUAAAGAAGUGUUUUCUGUUGAAGUUUUGGUAAAAGUUCUUUGGAAUAGGACAUCAUAGAGGGUGAGAAUCCCGUAUUUGACCAUUAUUUUCAGCUGUGUGAUACACUUUCAAAGAGUCGGAUUGUUUGGGAAUGCAGUCCAAAAUGGGUGGUAAAUUUCAUCUAAAGCUAAAUAUUGGCGAGAGACCGAUAGCGAACAAGUACAGUGAGGGAAAGAUGAAAAGAACUUUGAAAAGAGAGUUAAACAGUACGUGAAAUUGUCAAAAGGGAAGCGUUUGACACCAGUGUUGUUUUCUCGAAAAUCAAUUAAAAAUGGCUCGAUUUUGUAUUGCUGAGACCUUAAAAGUUCACUGUACAUUUUUCGUGUCUUUUUUAAUGCACUUUUCGUUUAACAAGUCAACAUCAGUUUCUUUUGUUGUAAAAAGGUCAUUGGAAGGUGGCUUUCUUUUCGGAGAAAGUGUUUAUAGCCUUUGACUCCUGCAAUCGGAGAGACUGAGGUCUGCAGCGUAGAUCCUUCGGGGUUAGAUACAUUUGUGCUAAGUUAUAGCUUUUUAUAGACAACUUGUUGACUAUGAUUAGUCUUGUAGCUUACUCGCUUAUGCUAUUUUACCUACGCUUAGGAUGUUGAGUCGUAGAGCACGCAG